rnacentral:rRNA from 1 species
UAACAAGGAUUCCCCUAGUAACUGCGAGUGAAGCGGGAAAAGCUCAAAUUUAAAAUCUGACAGUUUCACUGUCCGAGUUGUAAUCUGGAGAAGCAUUUUCCGUGUCGGACCGUGUACAAGUCUCUUGGAAUAGAGCGUCAUAGAGGGUGAGAAUCCCGUCCAUGACACGGACUACCGAUGCUUUGUGAUAUGCUCUCGAAGAGUCGAGUUGUUUGGGAAUGCAGCUCAAAAUGGGUGGUAAAUUCCAUCUAAAGCUAAAUAUUGGCGAGAGACCGAUAGCGAACAAGUACCGUGAGGGAAAGAUGAAAAGCACUUUGGAAAGAGAGUUAAACAGUACGUGAAAUUGUUGAAAGGGAAACGCUUGAAGUCAGUCGCGUUGAUUGAGACUCAGCCUUGCUUUGCAUGGUGUACUUCUCAGUUAACGGGUCAACAUCAAUUUCAGUUGGUGGAUAAAGGCAUUGGGAAUGUGGCACCUUCGGGUGUGUUAUAGCCCUUUGUUGCAUACACUGACCGGGAUUGAGGAACGCAGCACGCCACUAAGGCCAGGGGUUCGCCCCAUGUAACGUGCUUAGGAUGUUGGCAUAAUGGCUUUAAGCGACCCGUCUUGAAACACGGACCAAGGAGUCUAACAUGCCUGCGAGUAUUAGGGUGGAAAACCCUUGUGCGUAAUGAAAGUGAAAGUUGGGACCUCUUGCGAGGGCACCGACGCCCGGCCCUGAAGUUUACUGACGGCGCUGCGGUAGAGCAUGUAUGUUGGGACCCGAAAGAUGGUGAACUAUGCCUGAAUAGGGUGAAGCCAGGGGAAACUCUGGUGGAGGCUCGUAGCGAUUCUGACGUGCAAAUCGAUCGUCAAAUUUGGG